GCGGUAGUAGUUCAACGGUAGAAUGUCUCCUUCCCAAGGAGAAGGUUGCCGGUUCGAAUCCGGUCUACCGCU
rnacentral:tRNA from 1 species